rnacentral:rRNA from 1 species
AUUGAACGCUGGCGGCAUGCUUUACACAUGCAAGUCGAACGGCAGCACGGGCUUCGGCCUGGUGGCGAGUGGCGAACGGGUGAGUAAUAUAUCGGAACGUACCCAGAAGUGGGGGAUAACGUAGCGAAAGUUACGCUAAUACCGCAUACGAUCUAUGGAUGAAAGCAGGGGACCGCAAGGCCUUGUGCUCCUGGAGCGGCCGAUAUCUGAUUAGCUAGUUGGUGAGGUAAAGGCUCACCAAGGCGACGAUCAGUAGCUGGUCUGAGAGGACGACCAGCCACACUGGAACUGAGACACGGUCCAGACUCCUACGGGAGGCAGCAGUGGGGAAUUUUGGACAAAGGGCGCAAGCCUGAUCCAGCAAUGCCGCGUGAGUGAAGAAGGCCUUCGGGUUGUAAAGCUCUUUUGUCAGGGAAGAAACGGUAGAGGCUAAUAUCCUUUGCUAAUGACGGUACCUGAAGAAUAAGCACCGGCUAACUACGUG